rnacentral:rRNA from 1 species
UACGUAGGAGACGAGCGUUGUCCGGAAUCACUGGGCGUAAAGCGCGUGUAGGCGGAUGGGCAAGUCUGCUGUGAAAGCUCCUGGCUUAACCGGGAGUGGUCGGUGGAAACUGCCAAUCUGGAGGACGGUAGAGGUAGGUAGAAUUCCCGGUGUAGUGGUGAAAUGCGUAGAGGUCGGGAGGAAUACCUGUGGCGAAGGCGGCCUACUGGGCCGGACCUGACGCUGAGACGCGAAGGCGUGGGGAGCGAACGGG